GAUGAACGCUGGCGGCGUGCCUAAUACAUGCCAGUCGAGCGAACAGACGAGGAGCUUGCUCCUCUGACGUUAGCGGCGGACGGGUGAGUAACACGUGGAUAACCUACCUAUAAGACUGGGAUAACUUCGGGAAACCGGAGCUAAUACCGGAUAAUAUAUUGAACCGCAUGGUUCAAUAGUGAAAGACGGUUUUGCUGUCACUUAUAGAUGGAUCCGCGCCGCAUUAGCUAGUUGGUAAGGUAACGGCUUACCAAGGCAACGAUGCGUAGCCGACCUGAGAGGGUGAUCGGCCACACUGGAACUGAGACACGGUCCAGACUCCUACGGGAGGCAGCAGGAGGGAAUCUUCCGCAAUGGGCGAAAGCCUGACGGAGCAACGCCGCGUGAGUGAUGAAGGUCUUCGGAUCGUAAAACUCUGUUAUUAGGGAAGAACAAAUGUGUAAGUAACUAUGCACGUCUUGACGGUACCUAAUCAGAAAGCCACGGCUAACUACGUG
rnacentral:rRNA from 1 species